rnacentral:rRNA from 1 species
UACGUAGGGUGCAAGCGUUAAUCGGAAUUACUGGGCGUAAAGCGUGCGCAGGCGGUUUUGUAAGUCUGUCGUGAAAUCCCCGGGCUCAACCUGGGAAUUGCGAUGGAGACUGCAAGGCUAGAAUCUGGCAGAGGGGGGUAGAAUUCCACGUGUAGCAGUGAAAUGCGUAGAGAUGUGGGGGAACACCGAUGGCGAAGGCAGCCCCCUGGGUCAAGAUUGACGCUCAUGCACGAAAGGCGUGGGGAGCAAACGAGG